UGCCAGCAGCCGCGGUAAUACAGAGGGUGCGAGCGUUAAUCGGAAUUACUGGGCGUAAAGGGUGCGUAGGUGGUUAUUUAAGUUAGGUGUGAAAUCCCAGGGCUCAACCCUGGAACUGCGCUUAAUACUGGGUAACUAGAGUACUAGAGAGGAGUGUGGAAUUUCCGGUGUAGCGGUGAAAUGCGUAGAUAUCGGAAGGAACACCAGUGGCGAAGGCGGCACUCUGGCUAGAGACUGACACUGAGGCACGAAAGCGUGGGGAGCAAACAGGAUUAGAUA
rnacentral:rRNA from 1 species